GAUGAAGAACGUAGCGAAAUGCGAUAAGUAAUGUGAAUUGCAGAAUUCAGUGAAUCAUCGGAUCUUUGAACGCACAUUGCGCCCGCCAGUAUUCUGGCGAGCAUGCCUGUUCGAGCGUCAUUUCAACCAUCAAGCCCCAGGCUUGUGUUGGAGCCCUGCGGCUGCCGCAGCCUCCCAAAACCAGUGGCGGGCUCGCUAUCACACCGAGUGCAGUAGUUUACUCUUCGCUCAGGGCGUGUGGCGGGUGCUAGCCGUGAAACCCCCAACUUCUCAAGGUUGACCUCGGAUCAGGUAGGAAUACCCGCUGAACUUAAGCAUAUCAAUAAGCGGAGGA
rnacentral:misc_RNA from 1 species